rnacentral:rRNA from 1 species
AUGUGCCUUGAUCACCGUGUUGGAAAUAAUACACCUUACAUAAAGGAAUGGAGGGAGUACAAGCUUCACAACAACACAUUCCUGAUCCAGAUUUUCAAGGUUCGGCACAAGUGGGCGAAGCCUUAUUUUAGUGGAAAUUUUUUUGUGAAGCAUACCAGUACACAAAGAAGCGAGAGUGCAAACCAUUUGGUGAAGGGCUACAUCUCGCCUACAUGCCCCAUGAACCUUUUUGUGAAGCAAUAGAACAAAUUGCAGUUUGACCGAGAAGGUGAAGAAGGAUUCCAAGAGAAGAGAACGAGGCUGGUGGGUGCUAAAGCAAAACUUUCUGCAACAAGAGGCAUCAUCUUUUUUCUGAUUUCCAUUCUUGCUAACAGAUUUGUUUGUGUAUUUUAA